GUUCCAAUCGCACUCCUCAUCCACAGCCCGAGCGGGAGCCGCGAGGGCGAGCGCGAGGCUGCCGGCGGCCCGCCGGAGUCCAUCGCCACCUUCCACUGCGCCGUGCGCCCUCAUCCCGCCACCACCAUGCCUGUCGCCGCCGCAGCUCCCCCAACCGCCGCCGCCCCGCGCGUCGUCGCCGUGCCCGCUGCCGUGGCGGCUCCUGCGCCCCGCCGGCGCGCGCUGCCCCCUCCGUGCCCGCCGCGACAGCUGCUACCCCGUGCCUCCCCUGUAUGCUCGUCGCGAUAGCUGCUGCCGCGCGCCGCCGUCGUGCCUGCUGCCACGGGUCCCGCCCCUUCAUCCCCCGCCCUCGCCGCCGACGCCAACCCCGGCACGAUGCCUGUGCGCCCGCCCGGACUCCCUCCCCGUGGUGAGCCCGCAGGCGGUGGGCGGAGGCCAGUGCCCCCCGGCCGGCGCUCGGGUGCGCGGCGGACCUGGACGCCGGGUGCCCCCGCGAGCAGCUCCUGCUCGGCCACCAAGUCGCUGCCCCAUUCCCUGCCGGCCGUGCUCCUCCGGUAGCGCCGCCCCAUGGAAGCCCCCAGGUUGAUUUGUUGCUGUUACGCCAAAAAUUACUAUUUCAGCUUCUCUCUUUCAAGCAUAACAAGUUUCAGUCAAAAUUCAUCGACCUUCUGCUCUAGUUCCAAAGAUGCUAAAAGGUUCAACAUUUCAGAUUGCAGAACAAUUUCAUUGUCGUGGCUUCAAUGUUGCUACAAAUUUCAUGUGUAUUUAGAUUUACUUUACAGCUAUAUUUUUUUGUAUUAUUCAACAAUGAUGCUACAGUCCUUCACUUUGUAAAUUGCAACUUCAAGUGUUCUGUUCGAAGUCCCCCACCCGUUAUUUUC